rnacentral:lncRNA from 1 species
CUCUGAGUCUGUUUUUACGUUCAUUUUUUGCCAAAACGAUUCCAACUCGUCUCAGCACUAUAUAGAUGUGUCGACCAGCUGCUGCUACUAUAGUCAUUCCGACGGCUAACCUUUUGAGACACCAUAACAUACACAUUUACAAGUUAAUAAUUAUCCAUUUAUUAUACAUUAAGUUAACAUAAGAUUUACUUUAGACAUGAAACUUACCAAAUCACUUCGGUAAAGCACAACUCACCUCUAUUCCCUUAUAAUUGCUUGUAGACACUUACAAUUAGACUCUCAUAGACUAUUUGCUCUCCUCUGAGCAACUUUUCCCAAAAACAUCCAAAAUUGGUUCAUUACUUCAAAUAAACCUUCAGGAUUCUUUUGUUUCUCAAAACAAAGUUGUCUUCUGCAUUUCUCUAACCUGCAAUUAGAGUUCCAGAAACUCAAAAUAUUUUUUAAAUCCUCAAAAUUCAAAAACCUCCAAUUUACACAGGAUUUUUUAAAAACUAUAGCAAAACCUAAAUCUCAUGACAAAUAUCUAUCAUUUGUAACCUAAAUUUGCCUAAGGUUUGAUAAAAUACUAAAUUCAAGGGUUAAAUCUAAAACCCUCACUCGAACCCUAAAAACUCACAUUGUCCCAAAGCUCUUCAAACUUCUUCUUGCCUCAACAAACUUGCUCCACACCUUCACACCUCCAAACCUCCUCCUAGCUUGAUCUUUUCUUAGCUCCAAAGUAGGAGAU